AGGUUACUGCUAUCGAGGUCCGACUAAGCCAUGCGAGUCGAAUGUAGCAAUACAUGGCGUACUGCUCAGUAACACGUGGACAACCUACCCUCAGCACGGGGAUAAACCCGGGAAACUGGGUAUAAUACCCGAUAGAACUGGGAUGCUGGAAUGCUUCCAGGUCGAAAGCUCCGGCGACUGAGGAUGGGUCUGCGGCCUAUCAGGUAGUAGUGGGUGUAACGUACCUACUAGCCUACGACGGGUACGGGUUGUGAGAGCAAGAGCCCGGAGAUGGAUUCUGAGACGCGAAUCCAGGCCCUACGGGGUGCAGCAGGCGCGAAAACUUUACAAUGCUGGCAACAGCGAUAAGGGGACCUCGAGUGCCAGGAUACAAUCUUGGCUGUCGUGAUGCCUAAAAAGCAUUGCAUAGCAAGGGCCGGGCAAGACCGGUGCCAGCCGCCGCGGUAACACCGGCGGCUCGAGUGGUAACCGCUAUUAUUGGGUCUAAAGGGUCUGUAGCCGGCCGGAUAAGUCUUUUGGGAAAUCCAGCUGCUCAACAGUUGGGCUUUCAGAAGAUACUGUUCGGCUCGAGGCCGGGAGAGGUGAGAGGUACUUCAGGGGUAGGGGUGAAAUCUUGUAAUCCUUGAAGGACCACCAGUGGCGAAGGCGUCUCACCAGAACGGACCUGACGGCAAGGGACGAAAGCUAGGGGCACGAACCGGAUUAGAUACCCGGGUAGUCCUAGCCGUAAACGAUACUCGCUAGGUGUCGGCCACGGUGCGACCGUGGUCGGUGCCGUAGGGAAGCCGUGAAGCGAGCCACCUGGGAAGUACGGCCGCAAGGCUGAAACUUAAAGGAAU
rnacentral:rRNA from 1 species